AUUGAACGCUGGCGGCAGGCCUAACACAUGCAAGUCGAGCGGAUGAGAGAAGCUUGCUUCUCGAUUCAGCGGCGGACGGGUGAGUAAUGCCUAGGAAUCUGCCUGGUAGUGGGGGACGACGUUUCGAAAGGAACGCUAAUACCGCAUACGUCCUACGGGAGAAAGCAGGGGACCUUCGGGCCUUGCGCUAUCAGAUGAGCCUAGGUCGGAUUAGCUAGUUGGUGAGGUAAUGGCUCACCAAGGCGACGAUCCGUAACUGGUCUGAGAGGAUGAUCAGUCACACUGGAACUGAGACACGGUCCAGACUCCUACGGGAGGCAGCAGUGGGGAAUAUUGGACAAUGGGCGAAAGCCUGAUCCAGCCAUGCCGCGUGUGUGAAGAAGGUCUUCGGAUUGUAAAGCACUUUAAGUUGGGAGGAAGGGUUGUAGAUUAAUACUCUGCAAUUUUGACGUUACCGACAGAAUAAGCACCGGCUAACUCUGUGCCAGCCGCCGCCGUAAGAC
rnacentral:rRNA from 1 species